UGGAUCACCUCCUAACAGGGAGACAAACAACGAUCUUGAUGCUUGAUCCAAAUUGUGAUUAAGCCGAGAUCCUGUCAUCUCGAUGGUCGAUCGGUACCUCAGGUUGAGAGCUUCAAGAGCUGAGCAAUCAGUUUUGUGAAGUUGAUCAAUUUCAGUUCCUAAACGUUGUCUAGGUCACCCCAAAGGGACAGCAAGCGUAAGUUUGUUGUUGCUGAGAGUCUUGGCUCCUGGGCCAUUAGCUCAGGUGGUUAGAGCGCACCCCUGAUAAGGGUGAGGUCCCUGGUUCAAGUCCAGGAUGGCCCAUUCGUGUUUGGGGGUUUAGCUCAGUUGGUAGAGCGCCUGCUUUGCAAGCAGGAUGUCAGCGGUUCGAGUCCGCUAACCUCCAUAUCAACGAUAAGCCCUCAAGGCACGCUAGGGAGCAUGAAUCCUUAGUGACUUUGGUGUGAUGUAGACGAACGGUUGAGCUGAAGAGUUCAGCCUCCAAUCAUUCCCAGAGAGGAAUCAAGUUGUGAUUGUGAUUGCGUGAGCAAUGAUGAGAGCAGGUUUGAUUUGAUGGGUUGAGUGGAUGCUGGAUUCUACGCCGCAACGGUGAGCAAGCGAGAGUUUGUUAGCUGUUGUGGGCGUGAAUUCAGCCAAGAACCUUGACAACUGCAUAGGUGAGUCUGGAAAGAAAGCAUCUCAUGGAUGUUGAUUCUUGAACCAGAGGUUAAGCGAGUGAUCGCUUGAUUUUGGAGAGAGGUCAAUGCUCUAUGAAGCGAUUCUAUUUUGAAUCAAGCAGAGCCGAGACCACCCAUCGUCUUGUCCCUCGCCGAGAGGAGACGAGUCAGAGGUUGGCGUUUAGGUCACGGAGACGUGAGCUAAACCCGAUCAAAUGAGUUUCAACAACUUAAACGAUGGAGUGGUGAAUAUGGUCAAGCUACAAAGGGCUCACGGUGGAUACCUUGGCACACAGAGGCGAUGAAGG
rnacentral:tRNA from 1 species